rnacentral:rRNA from 1 species
UCUAAGUUUGAUGGCGACCGGCGCACGGGUGAGUAACACGUAUCCAACCUGCCGAUGACUCGGGGAUAGCCUUUCGAAAGAAAGAUUAAUACCCGAUGGCAUAGUUCUUCCGCAUGGUGGAACUAUUAAAGAAUUUCGGUCAUCGAUGGGGAUGCGUUCCAUUAGGUUGUUGGCGGGGGUAACGGGCCCACCAAGCCUUCGAUGGAUAGGGGUUCUGAGAGGAAGGUCCCCCACAUUGGAACUGAGACACGGUCCAAACUCCUACGGGAGGCAGCAUG